GAUGAAGAACGCAGCGAAAUGCGAUAAGUAGUGUGAAUUGCAGAAUUCAGUGAAUCAUCGAAUCUUUGAACGCACAUUGCGCCCCUUGGUAUUCCAUGGCGCAUGCCUGUUCGAGCGUCAUUUGUACCCUCAAGCUUUGCUUGGUGUUGGGUGUUUGUCCCGCGUUGCGCGUGGACUCGCCUUAAAGCGAUUGGCAGCCGGCAUAUUGGCCUUGGAGCGCAGCACAUUUUGCGCUUCUAGUCAUGAAUGUUGGCGUCCAUUAAGCCUAUACAUUUGCUCUUGACCUCGGAUCAGGUAGGGAUACCCGCUGAACUUAAGCAUAUCAAUAAGCGGAGGA
rnacentral:misc_RNA from 1 species